GGCAGCGUAGCCCAGUGGGUAAGGAACUGGGCUUGUAACCGAAAGGUCAUAGGUUCGAUUCCUGGACAGGACGCUGUCG
rnacentral:tRNA from 1 species